UUCCUGUUCUUUAUAAGUCGAUGUCAGACAGAGACAGACAGCAGUACACAGCCAGCUGUGGUGAUAUGAUGUCACUGCUGAGGAGUUUGCUCUUGUUCUACUUCUCAUUCAACAAAUUGACCACAGAAGCAGGAAUCCAAAGAUGACUUCAGCUACCAGUAUUCUGAUUUUUGCGAUCCAUUUAGGCUGUAUCAGAGCUGGAAAAUCUUCUGAGACAUUUGUCAAACUGGAGUGUGAAGAAGAAUACCGUGGGGUUUAUGGUCAGCAGUCAUUGCUGGAGUGUAUUGUCAAAGCUGUUCAGAACGUGACCAUCUUGACGGUGACCUGGAAGAGGGUGGGAGGUGAUGCACCUUUGUUGGAAUACCAUAAACAUGCAAAUGCCUCAACCCUUGGGUUUAAAUUUGCUGAGCCAUCCUGGAACAAGGAUAAUAUGAAUGUGUCCUUGUUGUUGACAAAUACCAAGAUGGCCGACAAGGGGGAGUAUGAAUGCAUGGUGAGAACAGACAGUGGUGAUGCUACAGCUACAGGCAGCCUCAGUGUCACAGCUAUGUACAAAUCACCAACCAUGAGUUCCAGUCCUGAGAAUUGCAUAAAACAGAACACAGACGUGACCAUUUUCUGCAACUCUACAGGCGGGCACCAGAAAGGGUUGAUCUGGUGGUUUGACGAGUUUGGCACGAACUGCACAGGCAGUGCUGAACUCGUGGCCAAAAAGACAGACGACACACUAUUUAGCCUCUCCAGUAAACUGACAGUUCUGAAGGCUACAUACAGUGGUUCCACAAACUACUCAUGCACAGUGCACAACACCAAUGGAGUCCAGGAGGGGAAGGCAUCAUUUGAGAUCCCGUUUGUAUGUUCAGCAGGUUCAAAAUAUGAUUUUGCUUCUGACUCCACUACCCAGUGGCUUGCCCCAGUUGGGUUCAUAGGAUCUCUGGUCAUUGGACUCCUUGCUGCGCUGCUGAUAUUUAAGAGGCGCUCUGUCCAACGGGCUCGAAGGCAGUCCACCUUCCCAUUAAUGACCGAUCUAUGGUCGAGCAGAACGUCAGAGCCAUACCUAAAUUGUAAGACGCCUACAGACGUCUUACAUCCCCGAUGAUCAUACGGGUGAAGUAAUAGCCCAGGAUCUCAAAGACUGGCAUUGUGGAAGAUGAGUGAAGACCAACAGGUGUGCAUGACAAUUGACAGCGGGAGCAACAUGAUAAAAGCAUUGCCCUUGAACAACUGGACCCGCAUGCAGUGCUUUGGGCACAGGCUUCACCUCGCCAUCGGUCACAGUGGCCACCCAACUGACAGGCACCACGAUGAUGAGGCAGAAGGAAACGCUAUCCUUACUGUCUAAAUAGUGACAGUACACAUGACCAGCAUUCCAGUCUUUAGUAACUGAUUCGUUAACUGGCAGUCUCUGGAAGGGACUGUUUCCUUGACGAUCAAUAAGGGAUUUGUCACUAUCCUUUGAUGGACUGUUUCCUGUUAAGUGUCCAAUGACAGUCACUUUGGCACUCGGGUCAUUCUUAUCGAGGCAUUUGUUUCUUCACAAUCUACUGCUGAUGGCAGCCUUUAAAGUCUGUGGUUGAUUACAAAUGAUAUGUUUCUAUACAGGGUUGCCAUGGUGUUACUACACUCUAGAUUCUACCACUGUAGAACAUUGGUAUACUGUAAUACCAGGUAAUCUAAUCACUGUACACACUAUACUACAAGAUGCAUGGUUUAACAUUCCACAUUUCCUCUACUGUAGAUUCUACCAUAUUGGUUGUUAUUACUAUACUGUAACACCAGACCAUCUAAUCACUAAUGUUACACGCCGUUCUAUAACAAGGUUGUGCGAACAUUCAAUUUGAACACUGUACUUUUCUGAAAACAUGUAGUAAAACUGGUUACACGUCUGAAAGAGGGUUUCACAAGACUGCACAACAACCACUCUUAUAACCAAAAGCCAGUUGGUUGCUCCUACCACAGAUUUAGUUUUAGGCCUUCCUCUUUUUCCUUGUCUUGUUCGAUCUGCUAGUGUAAAAAUGCAGAUUUAUAUCUUGCUCAGAGCGCACGUCCAGGAAAUGCAAUGGAAUGAAACUGUAAACAUGUUGAUCAUCAGGUUUCAAGAGAUACUCCUGCAUCUGCCAGUAUUCUCCCUGGGCUUUGAUUCUGCUACAAUAUUUCUGGGGAGAAUGUUGCGCCCAAUUCCCUAUAUAGUGCACUACUUUUGACCAGAGGGAAUAGGGUGCCAUUUGGAAUGCAACCUUUGACUUGACUUUGUGUUUUAUCAUUUUUGGCACUGAAUGUAAUAUAUAACCAUUAUCAGAAGUCAGCCUGUCACUCCUCCCACAGCUGUUUGUUUUUGGCCUUCCUCAUUCUCCUUUCUUGUCUGGCGCCAUCUGCUGGUGUACAAUUCAGAUCUACAUUUAUAUCUUGCCCAGGGCUCGCCUCCAUGAAGGCAGUGCAAUGGAACGCAACUGUAAACCUGAACAACGAGAGUCAAUUAGUAAUCUGAGAGAAUUAGUUAUCAGUUUCAAGUUGAACAUGUAAAUGUUUACCUGGUGGUUGAUUAUGAUGCUUUUGUAAAUGCCACAAUUGUUUUAUGUUAUGAAAGAGGCUGCUACUGUCUUAAUAUUGUAGUUAUAGAAUGACUGUUUCAGUUCCCAUUAUGUUUUACUGCUAUCAUGUUGCUGAUGGCAUUACGUAUAGACUGACUAAUCUGUUGUAUUGUGGCAGCUUGAGGUGAAUGGUGUCCACGACAAGACUCCACCUCCCAUAAUUCCUGGCAAAUCUUGUAUCAGUUCCUUCUUACUUCAGUACAUGAUUGGAAGUUGGCACUAUAGAUACAGCUAGAAUGAUUCAUCAAUUUAUAUGCUACCCUGCUUGGCACUGGUCAGGGCUCUUCCAAAGAAGCUUGGGCUUUUGGUUUAGCUCGACUAUAGUGGUUUGAGAUGUUCAUGUGUAAAGUUUUUUUAUUUUGCAGUUAUUUUGCAGUUAUUUUGCAGUUAUUUUGCAGUUCAACUAAAUGUUUUCUUUGUAUGAAGUGUAUAUCAAGCGAUUUGUUGAUGUGCCUGCUUGAGGCCUACUCCACUUACGAUUUUGUUGUCCCCCUGUUUUUUUUGUAUAUUUCACACUUUGAAAUUCCUUUUCAAAUCCCACACCUUGACACUGUUCAGGUUUUGUAAAUAGGUUGAAGAUUUUAAUUGUAGUUUUUAAUUACUACAAUCUUUUUUUAAUUUUUAUGAAAAUCAUAAUUGAUGGGGAGGCUAAUCUGAAAUGUUCUUAUGUUCUAAGGUCUAAACUGUUUUAAUAUGUUUUAAGGAACCAAAAGCAGUAAAACCAUUACUUAUUAAUUUUUAUUUUUUAUCCAUCAUUAUGCAUUAUAUAAGUAGUUACAGUACCUAAAGACAAUUUAUUUUUUGCCCAGCGACAGUACAUCGUUGCAUUCAUUAGUGCACACCGUAGCAAAACAAUUUGCAACG